UCUUCAAGGCAGUUCCAAAGCUAAGAAACUGCUGUGUGUGUUUUGCAGAAACAGGUCUUGAGGGAGUACAGUCUAAGGAGUUUAUCUAGAGAUAUUUGUAAUCUCUCCAAAUUAUAGUGCUGGCAUUGAGAUCGUCACCAGGACACUGAAUAGUAUCUUCCUUCAGACAGAGAUUGAGAAGAGGAAAUACCACCACUGUGCAGCCAAGCUGUGCUGAGGACUGAUUGAAAGAAACUGCUGCUCCAGAUGUUGCUCUAGCCAGCUUUCGAAGUGUGAGCAGGUUCAUUUUUCUAAUGAAAACCACAGGGGCAGUGUCUACACUGGCAAGAUGAAGUAGAGAAACAAGCAAUCUGAGUCAUGUAUCCACUAAUGAUUUCAGAUGACUCUUUCCUACAAAAUGUCACCAAUAAUGAACAAGCCAACAGCCCCGGAGAUGGUGGGUCACAAAGGUUGGAGAAAAAGGGAUGAAGCAAGGAAUUUCAUCAAUCAGUGCAUGACUCCCAAAUCCUAUGGUUCAAGUAUGACAGUUGUUGUGUUUCACGCCUUGACUUUGGUGGAGUGUGCCGGAAGCCCAAAAGUGAAUUCGCUUAGUGAGAAUGACUUCACAAUUCAGCACCAGUUUCAACCAGUCAAAAAUGCUGCCGUUUUGGCUUAACUACAGGAAGAGUCUGAAGCUCAUGGUUUCUGUGACAACGCAGGGUCAGGUGACCUGGAUAUGUCCUGCCAAGCUGUUCCUGAGGAAUAAAUAGGCUGUUUGUAAACA
rnacentral:lncRNA from 1 species